GGAGACUGAUAGGGGAUCACUGACUGCAGAUGUCUGGUGUGGAGACUGAGAGGGGAUCACUGACUGUGGGUGUCUGAUGUGGAGACUGAGAGGGGAUCACUGACUGCAGAUGUCUGGUGUGGAGACUGAGAGGGGAUCACUGACUGUAGAUGUCUGGUGUGGAGACUGAGAGGGGAUCACUGACUGUGGGUGUCAGGUAUGGAGACUGAGAGGGGAUCACUGACUGUGGGUGUCUGGUGUGGAGACUGAGAGGGGAUCACUGACUGUAGGUGUCUGGUGUGGAGACUGAGAGGGGAUCACUGACUGUAUGUGUCUGGUGUGGAGAUUGAGAGGGGAUCACUGACUGUGGGUGUCUGGUGUGGAGACUGAGAGGGGAUCACUGACUGUAGGUGUCUGGUGUGGAGACUGAGAGGGGAUCACUGACUGUAGGUGUCUGGUGUGGAGACUGAGAGGGGAUCACUGACUGUAGGUGUCUGGUGUGGAGACUGAGAGGGGAUCACUGACUGUAGGUGUCUGGUGUGGAGACUGAGAGGGGAUCACUGACUGCAGGUGUCUGGUGUGGAGACUGAGAGGGGAUCACUGACUGUGGGUGUCUGAUGUGGAGACUGAGAGGGGAUCACUGACUGCAGAUGUCUGGUGUGGAGACUGAGAGGGGAUCACUGACUGUAGGUGUCUGGUGUGGAGACUGAGAGGGGAUCACUGACUGUAGGUGUCUGGUGUGCAGACUGAGAGGGGAUCACUGACUGUAGGUGUCUGGUGUGGAGACUGAGAGGGGAUCACUGACUGCAGGUGUCUGGUGUGGAGACUGAGAGGGGAUCACUGACUGUGGGUGUCUGGUGUGGAGACUGAGAGGGGAUCACUGACUGCAGGUGUCUGGUGUGGAGACUGAGAGGGGAUCACUGACUGCAGAUGUCUGGUGUGGAGACUGAGAGGGGAUCACUGACUGCAGAUGUCUGGUGUGGAGACUGAGAGCUAGGACAGUGGUAGUGUGGGAAUCUGUUGUGACUGCUUACAAUAUGCUUGUGUAAUAUGCUACAGUUCACCUUUGAAUUGAACGCAUAUGCAAACUGAUAUGCACUCUAUAGUGUGCACAUUAUCUGGACAGUGGCGUGAGGAUUUUUUACUUAUGUACUAUUUCUCUGAUCCUAGGUCAGUUUCCUUUUAUGUGGUAGAAUCUGUAAGUUCACACCGGUUGGUGGGUAGGAGGUGGGGAGGAGACAGCCUAUCAGGUCAGGUCGCUCUUUUAGGCUUUGGUCAGCAUGGUUUCGCCAUGGGAACAGGUCACUCAGGCAGGUCCUAAGUGAAGUACUUUAUUCUUAUUGGCCAGGAGAAAGAAUGUAGCUGUACAGUUGAAGUCGGAAGUUUACAUACACUUAGGUUGGAAUCAUUAAAACUAUUUUUUCAACCACUCCACAAAUUUCUUGUUAACAAACUAUAGUUUUGGAAAGUCGGUUUUGGACAUCUACUUUAAGUAAUUGUUCCAACAAUUGUUUACAGACAAGUUAUUUCACUUAUAAUUCACGGUAUCACAAUUCCAGUGGGUCAUAAGUUUACAUACACCAAGUUGACUGUGCCUUUAAACAGCUUGGAAAAUUCCAGAAAGUGAUGUCAUGGCUUUAGAAGCUUCUGAUAGGCUAAUUGACAUCAUUUGAGUCAAUUGGAGGUGUACCUGUGGAUGUAUUUCAAGGCCUACCUUCAAACUCAGUGCCUCUUUGCUUGACAUCAUGGGAAAAUCAAAAGAAAUCAGCCAAGACCUCAGAAGAAAAAUUGUAGACCUCCACAAGUCUGGUUCAUCCUUGGGAGCAAUUUCCAAACACCUGAAGGUACCACGUUCAUCUGUACAAUCAAUAGUAGGCAAGUAUAUACACCAUGGGACCACACAGCCGUCAUACCGCUCAGCAAGGAGACGCGUUCCAUCUCCUAGAGAUGAACGUACUUUGGUACGAAAAGUGCAAAUCAAUCCCAGAACAACAGCAAAGGACCUUGUGAAGAUGCUGGAGGAAACGGGUACAAAAGUAUCUAUAUCCACAGUAAAACGAGUCCUAUAUUGACAUAACCUGAAAGGCUGUUCAGCAAGGAAGAAACCACUGCUCCAAAACUGCCAAAAAAAAGCCAGACUACGGUUUGCAACUGCACAUGGGGACAAAGAUCGUACUUUUUAGAGAAAUGUCCUCUGGUCUGAUGAAACAGAAAUAGAACUGUUUGGCCAUAAUGAACAUCAUUAUGUUUGGAGGAAAAAGGGGGAGGCUUGCAAGCCAAAGAACACCAUCCAAACUGUGAUGUACAGGGGUGCAGCAUCAUAAUAUAAUAAUAUAUAAUAAUAUAAUAAUAAUAAUAUAAUAAUAUAUGCCAUUUAGCAGACGCUUUUAUCCAAAGCGACUUACAGUCAUGUGUGCAUACAUUCUACGUAUGGGUGGUCCCGGGGAUUGAACCCACUACCCUGGCGUUACAAGCGCCAUGCUCUACCAACUGAGCUACAGAAGGACCACAUGA